rnacentral:rRNA from 1 species
CAAAGAGUCCCUCCCGACUGUUUACCAAAAACACAGCACUCUGCUAACUCGUAAGAGGAUGUAUAGGGUGUGACGCCUGCCCGGUGCUCGAAGGUUAAUUGAUGGGGUUAGCAUUAGCGAAGCUCUUGAUCGAAGCCCGAGUAAACGGCGGCCGUAACUAUAACGGUCCUAAGGUAGCGAAAUUCCUUGUCGGUUAAAUACCGACCUGCAUGAAUGGCGUAACGAGAUGGGAGCUGUCUCAAAGAGGGAUCCAGUGAAAUUGUAGUGGAGGUGAAAAUUCCUCCUACCCGCGGCAAGACGGAAAGACCCCGUGGACCUUUACUACAGCUUGACACUGCUACUUGGAUAAGAAUGUGCAGGAUAGGUGGGAGGCUUUGAGUAUAUGACGCCAGUUGUAUAUGAGCCAUUGUUGAGAUACCACUCUUUCUUAUUUGGGUAGCUAACCAGCUUGAGUUAUCCUCAAGUGGGACAAUGUCUGGUGGGUAGUUUGACUGGGGCGGUCGCCUCCCAAAUAAUAACGGAGGCUUACAAAGGUUGGCUCAGAACGGUUGGAAAUCGUUCGUAGAGUAUAAAGGUAUAAGCCAGCUUAACUGCAAGACAUACAAGUCAAGCAGAGACGAAAGUCGGUCUUAGUGAUCCGGUGGUUCUGUGUGGAAGGGCCAUCGCUCAAAGGAUAAAAGGUACCCCGGGGAUAACAGGCUGAUCUCCCCCAAGAGCUCACAUCGACGGGGAGGUUUGGCACCUCGAUGUCGGCUCAUCGCAUCCUGGGGCUGGAGCAGGUCCCAAGGGUAUGGCUGUUCGCCAUUUAAAGCGGUACGCGAGCUGGGUUCAGAACGUCGUGAGACAGUUCGGUCCCUAUCUGCCGUGGGCGUAAGAAGAUUGAAGAGAUUUGACCCUAGUACGAGAGGACCGGGUUGAACAAACCACUGGUGUAGCUGUUGUUCUGCCAAGAGCAUCGCAGCGUAGCUAAGUUUGGAAAGGAUAAACGCUGAAAGCAUCUAAGCGUGAAGCCAACUCUAAGAUGAAUCUUCUCUAAGCUCUCUAGAAGACUACUAGUUUGAUAGGCUGGGUGUGUAAUGGAUGAAAGUCCUUUAGCUGACCAGUACUAAUAGAGCGUUUGGCUUAUCUUUAAUAAAGCAU